rnacentral:rRNA from 1 species
GCGGUGUAGGUGGAAGCAGCGGUGGAGGAGGAGGAUGAGGUAGCCAACACUGUUUUUUAUAUAUAUAUUUUUUAAUUGGGGUGGCCCCCAAAAUAUUGGGACAUAUAAAAAAAAAAGACAACUCUGUUCCGCAGAGUAGCUGUUGACAUUAUAGUUGCGCAGGCACUUUGUUGACUCUAGAGAACCUCGGGCCAAUUGCACAUCCCUAUGAUGGCGACUUUGCAUCCGUAAGUCAUCCAUAGCAACGUUCAAUGCCAGUUUCUGCGUCUUCCAUGGUGACUACGGGUAACUGGGAAUCAGGGUUCCAUUCCGUACAGGGACCCUGAGAAAUGGCUACCACAUGCAAGGAAGGCAGCAGGCG